CAAUCGGUCCUUUUCAGGACCACAAAACAUAUUUAGAAAGAGAUAUU
rfam:Stomoxys calcitrans breed 8C7A2A5H3J4 unplaced genomic scaffold Scaffold1407, whole genome shotgun sequence.